rnacentral:rRNA from 1 species
ACGCUCGACACCUACGGGAGGAGCAGUUGGGAAUAUUGGACAAUGGAGGAAACUCUGAUCCAGUGACGCCGCGUGAAGGAAGAAGGUCUUCGGAUUGUAAACUUAUUUUGUCAGGGAAGAAAAAUGACUGUACCUGAAGAAAAAGCACCGGCUAACUACGUGCCACAGCCGCGGUAAUCUGAGCGGGCUGGCAAGGC